UGAACGCUGGCGGCAGGCCUAACACAUGCAAGUCGAGCGGAUGACAGGAGCUUGCUCCUGAAUUCAGCGGCGGACGGGUGAGUAAUGCCUAGGAAUCUGCCUGGUAGUGGGGGACAACGUUUCGAAAGGAACGCUAAUACCGCAUACGUCCUACGGGAGAAAGCAGGGGACCUUCGGGCCUUGCGCUAUCAGAUGAGCCUAGGUCGGAUUAGCUAGUUGGUGAGGUAAUGGCUCACCAAGGCGACGAUCCGUAACUGGUCUGAGAGGAUGAUCAGUCACACUGGAACUGAGACACGGUCCAGACUCCUACGGGAGGCAGCAGUGGGGAAUAUUGGACAAUGGGCGAAAGCCUGAUCCAGCCAUGCCGCGUGUGUGAAGAAGGUCUUCGGAUUGUAAAGCACCUUAAGUUGGGAGGAAGGGCAUUAACCUAAUACGUUAGUGUUUUGACGUUACCGACAGAAUAAGCACCGGCUAACUCUGU
rnacentral:rRNA from 1 species